CAAUUUUGAGAGCCAAAUAAGUCGGCUCUCUGCUGUAGUAGCAUGUAGAUAGUUCCAAUACGACAUAUAGCAGCAAUGAUGAUGGUCCCCCAGGAAAAGGAAAACUUUAACUCUGCCUGGAUAGAAGUUCAUGAACCAAGGAUAGCUCAAAAUAGCUCUAUUAAAAUGAAAAUAAACAUAAAAGUACUAGCACAACGCGUUUGACCAAUUCACUGGUCUUCCUCAGGUUUAAUGAAACCAAAUGCAAAUAACAGGUUUAUAUACCUCACAAACAAAUUGCAAUUAAAAACACAUGUACAAAAUAAACAGUGAGCCCCUCCCAACAUGUCCAUACAUGGUAGUUCCGUUUUUAUCCUUCCUCCUCCAAUAUGGCGAAUAUGUGAUAUAUCCAUAGGGAACCG